AAGCUUUCAAUAUACUGUGAUUCAUGUCUUGUUCUACAAGAUUAGUGAAAAAUACAUUUAUUUCUCUAAAACAAAUGUAAGAAAAAAGUGUGGUCUUUUCUCCUAACUUGGGUAUAUGUAGGUAAUCUAUAUAGAUAAAUGAUUAUCCUGCCAGUUAAUGGUCUUUUUCUCCUAACCUGGGUAUAUGUAGGUAAUCUAUAUACUGUAAAUUCAGAAAUUAAUGCAAGGUUUUUAUUAUUGCAAAAAAUGCGACUGAGUUGUAAACGCAAUAAUUUUAACUCGCAUUUUGAAAUAUUUUAUAUGAAUUAAACAGGAUUUUUCUCAAAAUCGUAAUAAUUAAAAUCGCAUUUAAGUCUUAAAUGACAAAAUCCCAAUAAAAAAUGCACGCAAUAAUUUCUGAAUUUACAGUAGAUAAAUGAUUAUCCUGCCAGUUAAGAUGACAAGGUUGUUGUUGACUGGAUACAGACAGUAUUCUAUACAUCUAGUCCAGAAGUCAAAGAUUUGUGAUUUCUUUUGUUUACAUUGCUGUGAGAAUGUGUGUGAAAGACGUGUAAUCAAUCUUCUGUUGUUACAUUUUCUCAGAAAUUAGUGUUACUGGUAAUUAAUUUUUUAAAGUUAGAUCUUCAGGUGGCAAAAUACUUAGUUUUCUUCCAUCAUUAAAGUAUCAAAAGAUAAUAAAAUAAUAAAUAAUUUAUUUGAACAUUGUGUCACAUAUUAAGUAGUUGAGUUCAUUCAUUUUACCUGUACACUUUUAUUAUUAUUUAAUUGGCAUUAUUUUGAAAUGAAAGAAAAAUACCAUCAAAAAGAAGAUCACUUUUGAAACUUCAAAUAAUAAUGUUGUUUUCAAUAAUUAUUUAAAAAAAUACUGUUUAAUUCUUUUACAUUUUAUAAGCCACCAGAUUUCAAAAACAGACAAUUUUAAAACAGGGUAUAUUAAACUUGUAUGUUAUAAAUGAAAUGCUGUAAUACUGAAGUUUUAAACAUAGAUUUUUGAGAGUUAUUGCCCUUGAACAUUAUGUAAAACCCUAAAUAUGUCAGCUUAUUUAAUGCACAAUAAGUAGCAAACAAUUAAAUCAUUGCUGCUGAUUAUAGAAUAUAUUAUCUUCUAUUUUAUUUUUAUGUGUUUAAAAAUUAAUGUUGAAAUCAGAUUUCAUGAAAAUAAAAGAAGCAAAAAAAAAAUCUCUAGAAUUUUUCAUUGAAAUACUGGAUUUUAAGUAAAAUAAAAUUAUGGUUUAAAUCAGCAUAUAAUCUUAGCUAGAUCUUUUAUACAUUGGAUAAGUAUAGCCUUAUUGGUUUUGUACAACAUAAAGAACAUUGGGCUUCUUAUUUUGCUUUAAAUUUCCUGUUGACUGAAAUUAAAAAUGUAAACUUUUAAGUUUGUAAGAAAAAGAAUCAUGUACAUAUGGGAAAUAAAAUAAUUUCAAUCUGAA